CAGCUGUCUCUAAGCUCUGUAGGACGCCAGGCAGCGUUAAAUAACCGAGCUUCAGACCAUCCCAGUGAUCAUUUUGGCGAAGGUUUCCUCCUCGAAGAAGCAAUCUCUCUGUGCUGAAGUAUGGCGCUGAAAGUAGUUCUGUUGUUGUGCUUGAUGUUCUUAUGUGCCGCUGUCAGCGAUGGUGCGAAAGCUGGUGCAAUGAAUGUACAUGCUAAACCCCAAUUUGAAAGUACACCAGAGUUGUUUCGUAGGAAGAGGGGAGAUGGGAGCCAGAAUGACGUGCUUCGUAAGAAGAGGAACGUAUUUGUGAAGGCGCAUGGAAAACCAACGCUAGAAAAAGGAAAUGGAGCUCUCUUCUAUUGAGGCUGGGGUCCACUAAUGACGGUAUCAAUUGAGCGCUUACAUAUACGACACAGGAUAUACAUGUACAAUAUUAAAUAACGAUACUGCAAUAGGCUUUUAGCCUGUAUGUAGCAGGUUUUUUCUUCAAUACUUUUGUUUGCGUGGGCAUGGCGGGGUGUGUACGAAAUUUGAUGAUUGAUCUAGGUUCUGUGCUGUAGAGUUCGGAUUUGUAAUGAGUGUCAAUCAUAUUUUUAAAUUGGUUUAGCGAGUUGGCAUUCACUGCUUGUUCUGGCAAGUUAUUCCACGGAUCUAUGAUUCUGUUGGUAAAAAAGUACUUUCGGAUAUCUAGUUUGGCUCUUGGUUUGUUUAACUUAUACGAAUGACCUUUGGUUUGAUAGGUGACAUCGACAGGUUGGGUUAGAUUAAGUCCAUCUAUGUUGUAGUAACCAUGGGUGAUCUUGUAAGUUUCUAUUAAGUCCCCUCGAAGUCUUCUAUAGGAUAAACUCGGGAGUCCUAAUUUGCAGAGUCUCUCCUCGUAACUGAUGUCUCUUAAUCCCGGGAUUAACUUUGUUGCUCGUCUUUGUACGUUUUCCAGUACGGUUAUGUUUUUCUUCAGGUGGGGGGCCCAGAUGACAUUUGCAUAUUCGAGGUGUGGCCUUACCAAACUUUUAAAUAGUGUCGCAAACAUCCUAGUAUCCAAAUGGUCAAAGGAUCUCCUGAUCAUUCCAACAAUCUUUGUUGCUACAUUAGCUACAUUAUUAAUGUGAUUUUCAAAAGUCAGGUUUCUAUCGAUGAUCACCCCCAAGUCCUUUUCGCAAUCUGAUUCUAAAACCUCAUGUCUCUGGCCAUCCUUCCUCAGAAAGUAUUCUGCUUGUGGAUUGUUUCUUCCGAGAUGCAUACUCUUACAUUUAUCCAUAUUAAAUCUGAGUUGCCAUAGUUCAGUCCAAUCAUCAAGGUUGCUGAGAUCUUUUUGCACCGACUGCGUCUGCUUUGUUGUUGCGACUUCUGCUAUGAGUUUGGCGUCAUCCGCAAACAUCAUUGCUCAGUUCUCCACGCAGUGAGGGAUGUCGUUCACAUAAUAAAUAAACAAAGUCGGACCAAGGACUAUGGGCGGUUAUUACCGCAAAUAAAGACAAACCAAAGCAAAGACACUUGUGUAGCAUAUCAAGGACACCUAGAUUGAUACUCCUGGGCGGUUAUUACCGCAAAUAAAGACAAACCAAAGCAAAGACACUUGUGUAGCAUAUCAAGGACAUGUAGAUGUGCGAUGGCCUUCAUGAUUUUGCUCGGGUUCGGGAGUUCCUGGGCUGUUAAGGGCAGGCAUAAAUUGGGUCAGGUCAAGUCUUGGGGUUGAAGUGAAUCUGAGAUUUUUUUCGUAAGGGUCAUCUCCAU